CAAAAAAAGUGUUCUCCCUAUUUUCAGUUGUUACAUUAUAUCAAGCUAGCGUGUCCUCUCAAACUGCUAGCUACAUCACCCUGUAACCUCCAUGUGUGCCCUUGCCAAGCAUUAGUCUUCAAUGUUUGCCCGCAGAAGAAGAUCAGAAGAAGAGCCGUUCCAGUGCUCUCUCUGCUUGGAUGUAUUUAGUGAUCCAGUCACCACCAGUUGUGGACACAAUUUCUGCAUGGCCUGUCUCAAUGAAUACUGGGAUAGCAGACACCAGUAUCAAUGUCCACUAUGUCAGGAGAGAUUCCCCAGAAGACCUAACCUAGUUGUCAACACAGCAUUCAGAGAUGUUGUUGAUAGAUUUAAAGAAAAAAAGAAGAAGAAAGAAGAAGAACAGCCCCUGCCCUUUACCCUGGAAUUGUUUGGAUCACGGUCCUGAUCUUGGUCAUGAUCUUUGUCCUGAUUUUGGUGUUUGUGGCAGACCUGGGUCAGCUCUCACCGCAUCUCCUACAGGAUCUCCCAUCCAAGGACAGAUCUGGGAAGGGCUGGUGGUGGAGACAGUGAGAGGAACUUCAGAAUGGACUGGGCUAUACUUGGUAGUUUAAAAAAAAAUAUAUAUAUAUAUACAGUUGAAGUCUGAAGUUUACAUACAUCUUAGCCAAAUACAUUUAAACUCAGUUUCAAAAUUCAUGACAUUUAACCCUAGUAAAAAUUCCCUGUCUUAGGUCAGUUAGGAUGACCACAUUAUUUUAAAUAAUAGUAGAGAGAAUUAUUUAUUUCAGCUUUUAUUUCUUUCAUCACAUUCCCAGUGGGCCAGA